rnacentral:rRNA from 1 species
UACGUAGGGCGCAAGCGUUAUCCGGAAUUAUUGGGCGUAAAGAGCUCGUAGGCGGUCUGUCGCGUCUGCUGUGAAAACUCGGGGCUUAACCCCGGGCCUGCAGUGGGUACGGGCAGACUAGAGUUCGGUAGGGGAGUGUGGAAUUCCUGGUGGAGCGGUGAAAUGCGCAGAUAUCAGGAGGAACACCCGUAGCGAAGGCGGCACUCUGGGCCGGAACUGACGCUGAGGAGCGAAAGCGUGGGGAGCGAACAGG